CGAGGUUAACCCGAGUGGGGUAGCCGUAGCGAAAGCGAGUCUGAAUAGGGCGUAUCCACACAACAGUGUGUGGUGUAGUGGUGUGUUCUGGACCCGAAGCGGAGUGAUCUACCCAUGGCCAGGGUGAAGCGCGGGUAAGACCGCGUGGAGGCCCGAACCCACUUAGGUUGAAGACUGAGGGGAUGAGCUGUGGGUAGGGGUGAAAGGCCAAUCAAACUCCGUGAUAGCUGGUUCUCCCCGAAAUGCAUUUAGGUGCAGCGUCGCGUGUUUCUUACCGGAGGUAGAGCUACUGGAUGGCCGAUGGGCCCCACAGGGUUACUGACGUCAGCCAAACUCCGAAUGCCGGUAAGUCCAAGAACGCGGCAGUGAGACGGCGGGGGAUAAGCUCCGUGCGUCGAGAGGGAAACAGCCCAGAUCGCCGGCUAAGGCCCCUAAGCGUGUGCUAAGUGGAAAAAGGAUGUGCAGUCGCAAAGACAAACCAGGAGGUUGGCUUAGAAGCAGCCACCCUUGAAAGAGUGCGUAAUAGCUCACUGGU
rnacentral:rRNA from 1 species